rnacentral:lncRNA from 1 species
CUGUGGUGCUCCUUGGAUCGUUCAAUAAACUCCUUUGCGAUAUCACGUCCUUGGUAUGAAGCUAAUACAGUUCGAAUAUCAGCUGGCCUAUUCUUUCCAACAUCUGCAUGCACAAGGUAUGAAGUCAUUAAAAGUGAGAUUUGCAUGGUGACCACCUGAUUCUAUACAUCAUCUGUUAUUGACAUGCUUACAUUCAAGAAAAGGAAUAAGAUCCAAAAGUGUGGUAUCUUCCACAUCUCCUUUCCAUGGUUUUAUUUCUACGCAAUUCUCUGGCUGAAGGCUACUUUCUA